rnacentral:rRNA from 1 species
CGUGCCAGCAGCCGCGGUAAUACGUAUGUCACAAGCGUUAUCCGGAUUUAUUGGGCGUAAAGCGCGUCUAGGUGGUUAUGUAAGUCUGAUGUGAAAAUGCAGGGCUCAACUCUGUAUUGCGUUGGAAACUGCAUAACUAGAGUACUGGAGAGGUAAGCGGAACUACAAGUGUAGAGGUGAAAUUCGUAGAUAUUUGUAGGAAUGCCGAUGGGGAAGCCAGCUUACUGGACAGAUACUGACGCUGAAGCGCGAAAGCGUGGGUAGCAAACAGGAUUAGAUACCCUGGUAGUCCACGCCGUAAACGAUG